rnacentral:tRNA from 1 species
AGGAGAGAAGCAUAUAGGAGAUGCGUUUAGUUUGAAACUAGGGAAAGGUGGUUCGAUUCCCCCCUCUCUUG